rnacentral:rRNA from 1 species
CACGUUCACUCCUACGGGAGGCAGCAGUGGGGAAUAUUGCACAAUGGGCGCAAGCCUGAUGCAGCCAUGCCGCGUGUGUGAAGAAGGCCUUCGGGUUGUAAAGCACUUUCAGUCGUGAGGAAGGUAGUGUAGUUAAUAGCUGCAUUAUUUGACGUUAGCGACAGAAGAAGCACCGGCUAACUCCGUGCCAGCAGCCGCGGUAAUACGGAGGGUGCGAGCGUUAAUCGGAAUUACUGGGCGUAAAGCGCAUGCAGGUGGUUUGUUAAGUCAGAUGUGAAAGCCCGGGGCUCAACCUCGGAAUAGCAUUUGAAACUGGCAGACUAGAGUACUGUAGAGGGGGUAGAAUUUCAGGUGUAGCGGUGAAAUGCGUAGAGAUCUGAAGGAAUACCGGUGGCGAAGGCGGCCCCCUGGACAAAGACUGACGCUCUGAUGCGAAAGCGUGGGGAGCAAACAGGAUUAGAUACCCUGGUAG